rnacentral:snoRNA from 1 species
GUGGAAAAGACAGUGAUGUAUUUCCAAGCACAUAUCUGAGUUUUAUGUGUGGAUAGAACUAAGCUGAGUCUUUUCCAC